CGGCCUUGACAUACUAAGAACUUUCCAGAGAUGGAUUGGUGCCUUCGGGAACUUAGAUACAGGUGCUGCAUGGCUGUCGUCAGCUCGUGUCGCGAGAUGUUGGGUUAAGUCCCGNAACGAGCGCAACCCUUUUCCUUAUUUGCCAGCGGGUCAUGCCGGGAACUUUAAGGAUACUGCCAGUGACAAACUGGAGGAAGGCGGGGACGACGUCAAGUCAUCAUGGCCCUUACGGCCAGGGCUACACACGUGCUACAAUGGUCGGUACAAAGGGUUGCUACCUCGCGAGAGGAUGCUAAUCUCAAAAAGCCGAUCGUAGUCCGGAUCGCAGUCUGCAACUCGACUGCGUGAAGUCGGAAUCGCUAGUAAUCGCGGAUCAGAAUGCCGCGGUGAAUACGUUCCCGGGCCUUGUACACACCGCCCGUCACACCAUGGGAGUUUGUUGCACCAGAAGUAGGUAGUCUAACCGCAAGGAGGACGCUUACCACGGUGUGGCCGAUGACUGGGGUGAAGUCGUAACAAGGUAGGCGUAGAUGA
rnacentral:rRNA from 1 species